rnacentral:rRNA from 1 species
UACGUAGGGGGCGAGCGUUGUCCGGAUUCAUUGGGCGUAAAGCGCUUUAAGGCGGUUCGCUAAGUCGGGUGUGAAACCUCCAGGCUCAACCUGGAGACGCCACUCGAUACUGGCGUGACUAGAGUUCGGUAGGGACCACGGAAUUCCUGUGUAGCGGUGAAUGACGCAGAUAUCAGGAGGAACACCGGUGGCGAAGGCGGUGGUCUGGGCCGACACUGACGCUGUAGAGCGAAAGCGUGGGGAGCGAACAGG